UACGGGGGGGGCAAGCGUUGUUCGGAAUUACUGGGCGUAAAGGGCGCGUAGGCGGCCCGCUAAGUCGAACGUGAAAUCCCCGAGCUCAACUCGGGAACUGCGUCCGAUACUGGUGGGCUUGAAUCCGGGAGAGGGAUGCGGAAUUCCAGGUGUAGCGGUGAAAUGCGUAGAUAUCGGGAGGAACAUCAGUGGCGAAGGCGGCCUUCUGGUCCAGUACUGACACUCAAGUGCGAAAGCGUGGGGAGCAAACAGG
rnacentral:rRNA from 1 species